GGAUUAUGGAACGUAUUCCUCAAAUAUUACAGUCAUUCCACCUUCUAACUUUGAACCUGAAGAUUUAGAAGAUAUUUCAACAAUUGAGUCCUCGUUUAAUAACUUUGAUUCAAAGUUCAACAACUACAAUCUGUCAGGAAAUGACCUUCAAACCUUGAGUUUUUUAGGAGCCGUUGCAGCUGGGUUCAAGCAAUUUCCAUUUAUUGAUAGCACAACAACUGAAGAAGAUGUAAAAGGUGAUAUAGAGUCCAUUAACAUUGAUACAUCCGGAGGAGGGCCUGUGUUUCUUGUUUAUCAACAGAAAACCGAGAAGCUUCUUCAAUUGGCCAAAAGCAUUAUAAAGCCUGGUUGUGCGAAUUUCACCGACAGAUUUAAAUUGGCAGACAUGCAGC